GCCCCGGUGGCGGAAUUGGUAGACGCAGCGGAUUCAAAAUCCGCCGCUGGUAACAGCGUGGGAGUUCGAUUCUCCCCCGGGGCA
rnacentral:tRNA from 1 species